rnacentral:rRNA from 1 species
UCGAGAAUACUUCACAAUGGGCGAAAGCCUGAUGGUGCAACGCCGCGUGGAGGAUGACGGUCUUAGGAUUGUAAACUCCUGUCAUCCGGGAGAAAGACCUGGGGGUUAAUAGCUCACAGGGUUGAUAGUACCGGAAGAGGAAGGGACGGCUAACUUCGUGCCAGCAGCCGCGGUAAUACGAAGGUCCCGAGCGUUAUUCGGAAUCACUGGGCGUAAAGGGAGCGUAGGCGGCGUAGUAAGUCGGAUGUGAAAUCCCAGGGCUCAACCCUGGAACUGCAUCUGAUACUGCUAUGCUAGAGUAAUGGAGGGGUAGCUGGAAUUCUCGGUGUAGCAGUGAAAUGCGUAGAUAUCGAGAGGAACACUCGUGGCGAAAGCGAGCUACUGGACAUUUACUGACGCUGAGGCUCGAAGGCUAGGGGAGCGAAAG